rnacentral:rRNA from 1 species
UACGAACCGUGCGAACGUUGUUCGGAAUCACUGGGCUUAAAGGGCGCGUAGGCGGGCAUUCAAGUCGGUGGUGAAAUCCUCCAGCUUAACUGGAGAAGAGCUGUCGAUACUGGAUGUCUCGAGGGGUGCAGGGGUCUGCGGAACUUCGGGUGGAGCGGUGAAAUGCGUAGAGAUCCGGAGGAACACCGGUGGCGAAGGCGGUUGCCUGGGGCUUUGCUGACGCUGAGGCGCGAAAGCGUGGGGAGCGAUCCGG